GUGCUCGCUUUGGCAGCACAUAUACUAAAAUUGGAAUGAUACAGAGAAGAUUAGCGUGGCCCCUGCGCAAGGAUGACACGCAUAUUCACUAAGGGUUCCCUUUUACC
rnacentral:snRNA from 1 species